CGGAGAUUCACGAAGAACCUGCUCAAGCCCGGGAGUGCGGCGGAGAUAAGGCAGACGGCAUCCAAUGCUGUCAGACAUUCGGCAAUGACGCAGGAGAAACCAGA